rnacentral:rRNA from 1 species
UACGGAGGAUCCGAGCGUUAUCCGGAUUUAUUGGGUUUAAAGGGUGCGCAGGCGGGAGAUUAAGUCGGCGGUGAAAUUUUGCAGCUCAACUGUAAAAGUGCCUUCGAAACUGGUUUCCUUGAGUGUAGAUGAAGUAGGCGGAAUUUGUGGUGUAGCGGUGAAAUGCUUAGAUAUCACGAGGAACUCCGAUUGCGAAGGCAGCUUGCUGGGUCGUUACUGACGCUGAUGCUCGAAGGUGCGGGGAUCAAACAGGAUUAGAUACCCGGGUAGU